UACGUAGGGAGCAAGCGUUGUCCGGAAUCAUUGGGCGUAAAGCGCGCGUAGGCGGCCCCGUAAGUCCGCUGUGAAAGUCAAAGGCUCAACCUUUGAAAGCCGGUGGAUACUGUGGGGCUAGAGUCCGGAAGAGGCGAGUGGAAUUCCUGGUGUAGCGGUGAAAUGCGCAGAUAUCAGGAAGAACACCCGUGGCGAAGGCGGCUCUCUGGGACGGUACUGACGCUGAGACGCGAAAGCGUGGGGAGCAAACAGG
rnacentral:rRNA from 1 species